UUGAAACCAUGGAUUCACCAUUACUAAUGCUAAAAGUAAUACCAACACAAAUACAAGUAAAUAAAUAAUAAUAGUAACAUAAUCAUUUUAGCAUCUAGUUCUAAAAUAAAUUCCUGGGAAGGAUAGACCCAAACAGGAAACUCGUUUCAUUUGGACAGCAUAAGAAAUUAUCCUACAUCAAUGUUACAGCAACACAAUACCAGCCUCAAGUAAAAGUUGAAACAGCCCGUGAAUCAUUUUUAUUUUAUAAAAUUCUUAAGAGCAGACAUGUAAACAGCUUAUGACAUUUCGACAAAGAGUCAACAUCUCCUUCUCAUUCAUUUGCAGUUGGAUCCUCCGACGGAGCAAUUCCAUCUUCACCUUCUGAUGGAGCACAAGGAGACUUGCGGUAUCGCGUUUGCUGUUGUGUUGGCUGCAAUUUUGGGCGAAGUGCCUCCAGUGGACCUUUGGGCUUCUUAUCUGCGCCUUGCUUUCCAAGAGCCCAGUCAGCAGAAUCAAAAUAAGCACGCUCAUGGUCCUUUGAGAUUAGAGGUGGCUUCUUGGGUAUCAUUCCUCCAUAUUUCUUUUUAACAACUUCCUCUUCUUGUUGGGUGGAUGGGUUCGACUUUUCAGCUCCAUCCUCCAUGCCUGACAUUCUUUCAACCACCCAGAGUCAACCACCAAUAAAAUUAUGGAUCCGCCCUUCGUGCUAGCAAUCAAUGGAUGGAGAAUGAGAGAGACAGAGAAAGAGAGAGCGUAUUCA
rnacentral:misc_RNA from 1 species